GACGAACCGUGCAAACGUUGUUCGGAAUCACUGGGCUUAAAGGGCGCGUAGGCGGGUUCUCAAGUCGGUGGUGAAAUCUUGCGGCUCAACCGUAGAAGUGCCGCCGAUACUGGGAGUCUUGAGGGAGGUAGGGGUCGAGGGAACUUCCGGUGGAGCGGUGAAAUGCGUAGAUAUCGGAAGGAACGCCGGUGGCGAAAGCGCUCGACUGGACCUCUUCUGACGCUGAGGCGCGAAAGCCAGGGGAGCAAACGGG
rnacentral:rRNA from 1 species